rnacentral:lncRNA from 12 species
AGCAGUUUCUCUCGGCAGAUCUCCAGUUUCAAGGAUGUGUGGAGACCUUGCCUGUCAACAGGCCUUUUGUGACUCACAACAAAUUCCACUCCAUGUCGUUGUCCUGCGCAUUACCUGGGGACAGUCCUGCAACCUGGGCUUUUCCUGUGGUCCGGUGACUCAGAAUUGAAUGCAACAAAGACACAUUAUGUCUACUCACUAAGUGAAUGAAGUCCCCCAAAUCACAGCCUUAGGGCUAGAAAGCACCUUAUGGUUCCCUAAGUCUGGGGUCCGGGUCCGUAUCAUUCUCUGGAAGUGCAGUG